GCGCCGCUAGCUCAGUUGGUUAGAGCAGCUGACUCUUAAUCAGCGGGUCCGGGGUNCGAGUCCCUGGCGGCGCA
rnacentral:tRNA from 1 species